ACCCUCGUAGCUCAGCGGAGUAGAGCGUCCGGUUCCGAGCCGGAAGGCCGCAGGUUCGAAUCCUGCCGGGGGUA
rnacentral:tRNA from 1 species